rnacentral:misc_RNA from 1 species
UCCGGUUUGUCACCGGCAGUCUCCCUAGAGUUCCCAUCCGAAAUGCUGGCAACUAGGGAUAGGGGUUGCGCUCGUUGCGCCACUUAAGGCAACACCUCACGGCACGAGCUGACGACAGCCAUGCAGCACCUGUGCGGGCUCCCGUAGGAGGACCGUGUUUCCACGGCUUCACCCCGCAUGUCAAGCCCUGGUAAGGUUCUUCGCGUUGCCUCGAAUUAAGCCGCAUGCUCCGCCGCUUGUGCGGGUCCCCGUCAAUUCCUUUGAGUUUUAGCCUUGCGGCCGUACUCCCCAGGCGGGGUGCUUAAUGCGUUAGCUGCGGCACAGAGGACGUGGAAGUCCCCCACACCUAGCACCCACCGUUUACGGCGUGGACUAC